UACGUAGGGGGGCAAGCGUUGUCCGGAUUUAUUGGGCGUAAAGAGCGUGUAGGCGGCCAUGUAGGUCCGUUGUGAAAACUCGAGGCUCAACCUCGAGACGCCGAUGGAAACCAUAUGGCUAGAGUCCGGAAGAGGAGAGUGGAAUUCCUGGUGUAGCGGUGAAAUGCGCAGAUAUCAGGAAGAACACCCGUGGCUAAGGCGGCUCUCUAGUACGGUACUGACGCUGAGACGCGAAAGCGUGGGGAGCGAACAGG
rnacentral:rRNA from 1 species